AUGUUUAUCUUUCCUGGCUUUUUUAACCCUUAGAUGAAUGUGAGAUAAAAUCCUGGCCGUUAUAAUUCACUAAAGCUUCUAGAAGUAGAGGUUUUUUUACAGUUUCCUGGAUUCCUUUUGACCUGCUUUUUGGGCAGUUUCAUGCGGUUUCAGCAGCCCCACUCCCCACCAUUUUAGGGAACGCCAAUGACAAGCCUUCUCACAACGUCUUCUUCUUCCCUACCAAAUCAACACCCCGAAAUUCCAAUUGUUGGCUUUAAUUAAUCAACAUCGAGCGUCUUCUUGACAGUUUUGUAGGAUUCCUUUUGCAGCAGAUCUUAUAUUAGAUUGCUAUAUCAAACCAACAUUCAAGCAUUCUUCCAACGCGAUUUGAUUAAUUGAUUCAACACAACCACCACAAAUGGCGUCAUUCAACAACGACUUAACCUUCAAGUUACAGUUAGGGUUCUGUUUAUCCGUUCAAGACAAAGGCGCUUUGAAGCAAUUUUGAAUUUAGAAGGUAAAGUUUUUCAUGCUAAAUAUUUAUAAGCUAAUUAUAUAGUGUUUUGGAUGUUUCAUGUUUUUGCCCAUUAUUCAAAUUUGCGAAUGCAGUUAAGUGUUAAAGGAAAUG
rnacentral:lncRNA from 1 species